rnacentral:rRNA from 1 species
GGGAAACCUUUUAUUGAAGCUUCGGCAGAUUUAGAUUGUUUCUAGUGGCGGACGGGUGAGUAACGCGUGGGUAACCUGCCUUAUACAGGGGGAUAACAGUCAGAAAUGACUGCUAAUACCGCAUAAGCGCACAGAGCUGCAUGGCUCGGUGUGAAAAACUCCGGUGGUAUAAGAUGGACCCGCGUUGGAUUAGCUAGUUGGUGAGGUAACGGCCCACCAAGGCGACGAUCCAUAGCCGGCCUGAGAGGGUGAACGGCCACAUUGGGACUGAGACACGGCCCAGACUCCUACGGGAGGCAGCAGUGGGGAAUAUUGCACAAUGGGGGAAACCCUGAUGCAGCGACGCCGCGUGAAGGAAGAAGUAUCUCGGUAUGUAAACUUCUAUCAGCAGGGAAGACAGUGACGGUACCUGACUAAGAAGCUCCGGCUAAAUACGUGCCAGCAGCCGCGGUAAUACGUAUGGAGCAAGCGUUAUCCGGAUUUACUGGGUGUAAAGGGAGUGUAGGUGGUAUCACAAGUCAGAAGUGAAAGCCCGGGGCUCAACCCCGGGACUGCUUUUGAAACUGUGGAACUGGAGUGCAGGAGAGGUAAGUGGAAUUCCUAGUGUAGCGGUGAAAUGCGUAGAUAUUAGGAGGAACACCAGUGGCGAAGGCGGCUUACUGGACUGUAACUGACACUGAGGCUCGAAAGCGUGGGGAGCAAACAGGAUUAGAUACCCUGGUAGUCCACGCCGUAAGCGAUGAA